rnacentral:rRNA from 1 species
GGAUUUUUAUUGGAUUAUCGCUCAGCGGCAGCCUAAACAUGCAAGUCGAGCGGUAACAGAAAGUAGCUUGCUACUUUGCUGACGAGCGGCGGACGGGUGAGUAAUGCUUGGGAACAUGCCUUGAGGUGGGGGACAACAGUUGGAAACGACUGCUAAUACCGCAUAAUGUCUACGGACCAAAGGGGGCUUCGGCUCUCGCCUUUAGAUUGGCCCAAGUGGGAUUAGCUAGUUGGUGAGGUAAUGGCUCACCAAGGCGACGAUCCCUAGCUGGUUUGAGAGGAUGAUCAGCCACACUGGGACUGAGACACGGCCCAGACUCCUACGGGAGGCAGCAGUGGGGAAUAUUGCACAAUGGGCGCAAGCCUGAUGCAGCCAUGCCGCGUGUGUGAAGAAGGCCUUCGGGUUGUAAAGCACUUUCAGUCAGGAGGAAAGGUUAGUAGUUAAUACCUGCUAGCUGUGACGUUACUGACAGAAGAAGCACCGGCUAACUCCGUGCCAGCAGCCGCGGUAAUACGGAGGGUGCGAGCGUUAAUCGGAAUUACUGGGCGUAAAGCGUACGCAGGCGGUUUGUUAAGCGAGAUGUGAAAGCCCCGGGCUCAACCUGGGAACUGCAUUUCGAACUGGCAAACUAGAGUGUGAUAGAGGGUGGUAGAAUUUCAGGUGUAGCGGUGAAAUGCGUAGAGAUCUGAAGGAAUACCGAUGGCGAAGGCAGCCACCUGGGUCAACACUGACGCUCAUGUACGAAAGCGUGGGGAGCAAACGGGAUUAGAUACCCCGGUAGUCCACGCCGUANACGAUGUCUACUAGAAGCUCGGAGCCUCGGUUCUGUUUUUCAAGCUAACGCAUUAAGUAGACCGCCUGGGGAGUACGGCCGCAAGGGUAAAACUCANAUGAAUUGACGGGGGCCCGCACAGCGGUGGAGCAUGUGGUUUAAUUCGAUGCAAC